UACAGAGGGUGCGAGCGUUAAUCGGAAUUACUGGGCGUAAAGCGCGCGUAGGCGGCUUGCCAAGUCGGAUGUGAAAGCCCCGGGCUCAACCUGGGAACUGCAUCCGAUACUGGUUCGCUAGAGUACAGCAGAGGAGUGUGGAAUUUCAGGUGUAGCGGUGAAAUGCGUAGAUAUCUGAAGGAACACCAGUGGCGAAGGCGACACUCUGGGCUGAUACUGACGCUGAGGUGCGAAAGCGUGGGGAGCAAACAGG
rnacentral:rRNA from 1 species